GAUGAACGCUGGCGGCGUGCUUAACACAUGCGAGUCGAACGAAGCACCUCUCCCGACGCUUGACACAGCUUGCUGUAGAUUGAUUCAUUUGAGGUGACUGAGUGGCGGACGGGUGAGUAACGCGUGGGUAACCUGCCUCAUAGAGGGGGACAACAGUUGGAAACGACUGCUAAUACCGCAUAGUAAGAAGAAUUCGCAUGUUUUCUUCUUGAAAGAUUUAUCGCUAUGAGAUGGACCCGCGUCUGAUUAGCUAGUUGGUAAGGUAACGGCUUACCAAGGCGACGAUCAGUAGCCGGCUUGAGAGAGUGAACGGCCACAUUGGGACUGAGACACGGCCCAAACUCCUACGGGAGGCAGCAGUGGGGAAUAUUGCACAAUGGGGGAAACCCUGAUGCAGCGACGCCGCGUGAGUGAAGAAGUAUUUCGGUAUGUAAAGCUCUAUCAGCAGGGAAGAUAAUGACGGUACCUGACGAAGAAGCCCCGGCUAACUACGUG
rnacentral:rRNA from 1 species